rnacentral:misc_RNA from 1 species
UUUCCGUAGGUGAACCUGCGGAAGGAUCAUUCAUAAUAAAGUGUUUUAUGGCACUUUUUAAAAAUCCAUAUCCACCUUGUGUGCAAUGUUAGAUCUCGUCAAUCUUGGCGAGAUUUUUAUACAUCAACUCAUUCUUUAACUAAUUUGUCUGAAAAAUAUUAUGAAUACUUAAUUCAAAAUACAACUUUCAACAACGGAUCUCUUGGCUCUCGCAUCGAUGAAGAACGCAGG